rnacentral:rRNA from 1 species
UACGUAGGGUCCAAGCGUUAUCCGGAAUCACUGGGCGUAAAGCGUGCGUAGGUGGAUUGUUAAGUGCGAUGCGAAAUCCUGUGGCUCAACCAUAUGGACUGUAUCGCAUACUGGCUAUCUAGAGGACAUGAGAGGCAAGUGGAAUUACCGGUGUAGCAGUGAAAUGCGCAGAUAUCAGGAGGAACACCAAUAGCGAAGGCAGCUCGCUGGGACGGUACUGACACUAAGGCGCGAAAGCGUGGGGAGCGAACAGG